rnacentral:rRNA from 1 species
AUCAUCACACCACAGCUGCUGAGUCCACAGCACAGUACAGCACCAUUCUUCUCUUCCAUUCUACUCAACGCAAAGUCCCUCGGAUCACAUCUCACUUUGCCUUGCUGCAAGAUCCAUGGCUCCCUCACAGGAAGUCACCGCCGCCACCAAGGAGCCGUCCACCAACGGCAACGGGACCAACGGAACCAACGGCACGGCCGCCGCCGCCCCGAAGACCAAGACGCCGGCCCUCAACGAGCGGAUCCUCUCCUCCAUCACGCGCCGCUCGGUCGCCGCGCACCCGUGGCACGACCUGGAGAUCGGCCCCGACGCGCCCACCAUCUUCAACUGCGUGAUCGAGAUCCCCAAGGGGAGCAAGAUCAAGUACGAGCUGGACAAGAAGACGGGGCUCAUCAAGGUGGACCGGGUGCUCUACUCCUCCGUCGUCUACCCGCACAACUACGGCUUCAUCCCGCGCACCCUCUGCGACGACGACGACCCCAUCGACGUCCUCGUCAUCAUGCAGGAGCCCGUCGUCCCCGGGUGCUUCCUCCGGGCAAAGGCCAUCGGACUCAUGCCCAUGAUCGACCAGGGCGAGGCCGACGACAAGAUCAUCGCCGUCUGCGCCGACGACCCCGAGUACCGCCACUUCAACGACAUCAAGGAGCUGCCCCCGCACCGCCUCGCCGAGAUCAGAAGAUUCUUCGAGGACUACAAGAAGAACGAGAACAAGGAGGUGGCCGUCAACGACUUCCUGCCGUCAGAGGACGCCUACGAGGCCAUCCAGCACUCCAUGGAUCUAUAUGCUACUUACAUUGUGGAGGGCCUGAGAAGGUAGGAGGAGGAUGGUGCCUGAUGGAUGGUGAUCUGGUGCCGCCUUGCCACUUGCUGCACCAACGAUGUCGACGAGAAUAUUAUGCCUCAUAAACAUACAUACAAUACAUUCUUGUUUUGUUACAUACAUACAUCAAUGGAGCUACACCUCAUCUAAAACAGGGAUCAAGUCAGUAGUAGCCAGACAAAGAAGUCACUCCUUUUCCAUCCAGCUUAUGUAAUACGUUUUCCUGGCUGAAUAUGAGAUGCUGGCAUUACUGUAUUUUUUCCCCCAUUGCUAAUAUCUGCUGAAUCGUUUAUUUUGUCGCAUAAGCCCGGCACUAAAUACUUGGGACCAACCGAA